rnacentral:rRNA from 1 species
AGUGAACGCUGGCGGUAGGCCUAACACAUGCAAGUCGAACGGCAGCACAGUAAGAGCUUGCUCUUACGGGUGGCGAGUGUCGGACGGGUGAGGUAUACAUCGGAAUCUACUUUUUCGUGGGGGAUAACGUAGGGAAACUUACGCUAAUACCGCAUACGACCUACGGGUGAAAGCAGGGGAUCUUCGGACCUUGCGCGAUUGAAUGAGCCGAUGUCGGAUUAGCUAGUUGGCGGGGUAAAGGCCCACCAAGGCGACGGUCCGUAGCUGGUCUGAGAGGAUGGUCAGCCACACUGGAACUGAGACACGGUCCAGACUCCUACGGGAGGCAGCAGUGGGGAAUAUUGGACAAUGGGGGCGAGCCUGAUCCAGCCAUACCGCGUGGGUGAAGAAGGCCUUCGGGUUGUAAAGCCCUUUUGUUGGGAAAGAAAAGCAGCAGGUUAAUCCCCCGCUGUUCUGACGGUACCCAAAGAAUAAGCACCGGCUAACUUCGUG